CCUCCCCCUCCCCUCCACAGGCUGCAGGAUUUGGGCCCCAAGACAUGACACUCUUCGGAGCCCCUUGUACGCCCCUCGCUGGGCUUCUGAGCGUUCGUUCCCAGUAGGCGCUUCCCUGGGUUCUCCGUGGUCCACGCUCAGCAGGAGCCUGUAAAUCAGUCGUACGUGACCGACGCGGCUGGCAUCGCAUUUCUGUGAAGCAGCAGGUGCAGACCCUCUGCCCUCUCCCCUGGCUCCCGCCCGAGGCCCGGUGGCCGAGCAGCUGGUGGCCUCGUGCAGCGCCCCGGCCAGAAUGGGCUACGCGGUCGCCGCAGGAACUCUGUCCUCUAGACGGGGCGCUUCCAGAGCGGAUUUUCUAGACCUUGCUUCAAACUCCUGCGUCCUCGUGGGACUCCCUGGUUGUCUGCGAACCGCCUAGAAAUCCCAGGAUCUCCCCCAAGCAACCCCGGGAAGCUCCCCCCCACCCCGGAAGACCCAAGGACUGGUCCUAAAUCUCGCCAGCCUGGGAUAGGGUCCUGCAGGCACCUUGCUACAGCCUUGGCCUUGGCCCUGGAGUGCGAGCAGCCGGGAGGUUGGCAGGGGCUCCCUGGCCCGCGGGCCGCCCGGCUUCGGCGCCUUGUACCCUGGGGGUCACACGUGAGACCAGCGUCCCCAGGUACACGCUUGGCCCCAGAAUGAGCACCCGCAGCAGGACGGGCCCGAGCCACGCUGGGGAGGGCGCGGGGCGGGGGGGGGGUGUGCCGGGCGGGCCAGCCUGGCCCUCGGUGUCCAGCAGCGUCCCCGCGGGGAGUGGUCGCUAGAUGCUCAUUUUGUUUUCUUUCCUCGCCGGUGGAGGCGGGCAGUCGUCCUGUCUCCGUGGCGAAGUCACAGAAGACCCCGCUGCCAGUUGGCCAGAGUUUCCAGGUAGCAUGAACGUCUGGCCCUCCUGUGAUUUAGUGCGACGUGUCC
rnacentral:lncRNA from 12 species